CUUAAAAAAAACAAAGGGACAGGUAAGGGCGAAGGUUUCAUUUAGGAAACGGUACGUCGUUGGUGUCUGAAGUUCAGAAGUAAAAAGAGAAAAUAGGGUUUAAGGAUUUGCUUGGAGAGAGAGGGAGAGGAUGAAGUCUGUGGUGGGGAUGGUGGUGUCGAACAAGAUGCAGAAGUCAGUGGUGGUGGCGGUGGACAGGCUGUUCCACCACAAACUCUACAAUCGAUACGUCAAGCGGACCUCCAAGUUCAUGGCUCACGACGAAAACAACCUCUGCAAUAUCGGCGAUCGAGUUAGAUUGGAUCCUUCGAGGCCGUUAAGCAAACGGAAAAAUUGGGUUGUUGCUGAAAUUCUCAAGAAAGCAAGGAUAUAUGUGCCACCAUCAGCAGCAGAUAAUGCUGCUUCGAAAACUAAAGGGGCGGAAGCACCAACUUCUUCGACCUCCUAAGGAAAGGUUGUUUAUUUAAGAAUGUCCACGUGACAAAUGCAUUACAUUUGUGUCUUGCCAAUUGCUGUUCUUUGCAAAUGGAAACUCCAAGUCUAUGGCAAGCUGACAACGUGACAGUAUCUCCACUGCCACAUGCAUUUUGUAACAUCGCGUGCCAUUAUCAUGUUAGCCCCACCUGCUCCCCUAGGCUUGAGCUGCAUCACUUAUCUUGUUCACAUCUAAGUUGCAUGAUUUGCAGUUACCUGCAUUUACCCUUAAACAUUCAAUUGUUGAACACCUCCUCCUCAUGGAUCCCUGUCAGUCCUCUGCUCCUCCUAAGAAAUUUCCUCGAGGGAGAAAUUCAGGAAUUUACAGGGGUGUCAGAAUGAGGACAUGGGGCAAAUGGGUUUCUGAAAUAAGGGUUCCGAAGACUGGACAAAGGAUAUGGCUGGGGUCUUAUGAUGCCCCCGAGAAAGCAGCUCGAGCAUGUGAUGCUAUCCAGUAUUGUAUUCGUGGUGAAUGUGGGCAAUUCAAUUUUCCUGCUGAAAGAAGGCCACAACUUCCUAGUGGUCCAGUAGAUGCAUUGUUCAAGAAGGAAAUAAAGGCUAUUGCCUUUAACUUUGCUUCGUCAAAUGCAUAAGUGUCUCCCUCUGUGAUAACUCCGGUGGAAAUGGUUGAGCCAUCCUUGCCCAAUUUGCAGGUUUUAAGUGCCACUGGAAAUGCAGGUAACGUGGAGGGUUAUGCUCCAGCUAGUGCGUCAGUACCAGAUUUAUGUUCAAUAGACAAUUUACAAUUGGAUGAUUUACUCAUGCUGGACAUAGAAUGGAUAGACUCCCUCUAGGUACAACGUAUUUCAAGGUUUUGUUGCAGUAAUAGACAUGAACUGUUUGUUAUUUAUUCAGUGUGAGCAUCUUUGUUGGAAACUGUUGCCAGGUAAUGAGAUCCCCGUUGAGGGGGGAGUGCUUAGAAUGUUUGCAAACAACAAAUUUUCAUCUUUGGUAAUCGCAUUUAGUAUUUGAAGUGCAUGCAUGCACGUAUGGAAGGACAACACAAAUUGAUCGACA